UACGUAGGGUGCAAGCGUUGUCCGGAAUUAUUGGGCGUAAAGAGCUCGUAGGCGGUCUGUUGCGUCGGCUGUGAAAACCCGGGGCUCAACUCCGGGCCUGCAGCCGAUACGGGCAGACUAGAGUUCGGUACGGGGAGACUGGAAUUCCUGGUGUAGCGGUGAAAUGCGCAGAUAUCAGGAGGAACACCGGUGGCGAAGGCGGCGACCUGGGUAGAUACUGACGCUGAGGUGCGAAAGCGUGGGGAGCAAACAGG
rnacentral:rRNA from 1 species